UAUCAUUCUAGGAUGACAAUGCAGAAGACCUCGCAGAAACAUUUGGCAACCAGCUUGGAUUAACAAAAUCGUUGAAGAAAGCUCUUCACUACAGACUAGAAGAGGAAAUAAAAAGCUGUACUAAUAGUUAACAUGCAUAGAAUAAUUAAUAAUCAAUAUUAUGUAUGGAAUGAGAUUAUGAGUGCUGUGUAUAUCGACUCAAAAUAAGACAGACUUAUAUUUGUUAGACAAUUGAACAUUAAAUCUCUAUGUGAACAAAUUAUUCACUCGGGUAUAUAGUUCUAAUGCUGAAGGUUGGUUUACUCUAUCAAAGAUUCUGAGAUCACAGUAGGAAUUUUGCAUGGGUAAAUUCUAAGUUUUGAAGAAUUUCUAAGAAAUGCUCGAGGAAACUGCUCAAACAUUUCUUACAAAUUCUUCAAAACUUAGAAUUUACCCAUGCAAAAUUCCUACUGUGAUCGCAGAAACUUUGAUUGUGGAAAACCAACCUUAACUUCAGUUCCAUUGGUAGGUGUCAGUAAGCUUUGUGAAACCUAUUGAAUAUUCAAACCUAUAAAUAUAUAUUAUUUAUUCAAAACGUGU